ACGGAAGGCAGCAGUGAGGAAUAUUGGUCGAUGGACGGAAGUCUGAACCAGCCAAGUCGCGUGAAGGAUGAAGGUAUUAUGUAUUGUAAACUUCUUUAGACGUAGAGAAAUAAGCCCCUCGUGAGGGGUGAUGCUAGUAUACGAGGAAUAAGUAUCGGCUAACUCCGUGCCAGCAGCCGCGGUAAUACGGGGGAUACGAGCGUUAUCCGGAUUUAUUGGGUUUAAAGGGUGCGCAGGCGGAUCGGUAAGUCAGGGGUGAAAAGUUGGGGCUCAACUCCAAUCGUGCCUUUGAUACUGCCGGACUAGAGUGCGAUAGACGUGGCCGGAAUGUGAUGUGUAGCGGUGAAAUGCUUAGAUAUGUCACAGAACACCGAUCGAGAAGUCAGGUCACGAGCUCGCAACUGACGCUCAGGCACGAAAGCGUGGGGAUCAAACAGGAUUAGAUACCCUGGUA
rnacentral:rRNA from 1 species